GGAGAGAUGGCCGAGUUGGUUAUGGCGCCAGGUUAAGGCCUCAGUCUUAACAUUGCAUCCUGGUGGGGCAACCCUCGUGGUAAGUCACGAGCUCUGUGAAAAACACAGUGUAACAAGCCCGCUAACAAUAAGAAGGGUUCGAAUCCCACUCUCUUCA
rnacentral:tRNA from 1 species